UCAUUCUCUCGACGCCGACAACCACAAGAAAAAAGUGAAACAUUGAACUUUUCUGAUCUUCUCUCUCUGUUUCGUCAAUUUGUUGGUUUUAUUCAAGAUGACUAUUUCGUCUUCCCAAGUAGAAAUUAAGACAAGGUCUCCGGUGUGGGAUCAUAGAAACAGAUGCAAGUGUAACUACUGUGACCACUUCUGGAACUUCGAAUUUGGCGAAACAUCUUAAAACAUGCAAGCCAUACAUCGCUUGGCAGCAAAGAGCGACUCAGCAAAAUUUGAACAGCGGUAGUGGUGUAACUGUUGGGAACAUGCAAGUGGGUAGAGUAUCAGAAGCGGUUUUUAGAGAGGCAUGUAAUGAGAUGUUGGUGUUAGGUGAGAUACCUCCUGCCUUUAUUGAAAGCAUAGCAUGGAGAAACUUCUGCAGACGGGUUCAACUUUACCAGCCACAUUCCAGAAAGACAGCCACUCGAGAUAUUGUUCAAAUGUAUGUGAGCCAAAUGACUCAUGUACCUUUCUUAGUAUUCCUUCUUUUUAAGAACCGAGUAUAUUAUUAUGUAUUCUGACUUUGUGAUCUAAUAUAUUUCAGGCAGUAGGAGAAAAAAAGAAGUUGCAGAUGGAAGAACUACCAAUUUGAUUCUACUACUUUUCAAAUCUCAAACUCUAAACCUUAUUCUUCUUUAAUCUCCUUUAACUCUUUCUACCUUUUGAAACUUGAAAUCUGAUAACAUGUUCUUAUUGUUGGGAUUGUUGUAACU